rnacentral:rRNA from 1 species
CUAACAUGUAUGCGAGUGUUAUUGAAAGGGAAACGAUUGAAGUCAGUCAUGCUAGUGAGGAAUCAACUUGAUGGUUUGUGGGUUCGCUCGCAUACUUUCCGGUGCACUUCCUCACUCGGCAGGUUAGCAUCAAUUUCGGUUAUCAUAAAAAUUUGAGGGAAUGUGGCUUUUCUCGGAAAGUGUUAUAGACCUUGAUCUAUGUGGUGACCGGGAUUGAGGAUUGCAGCGGAUACCCUCGUGGCUCGUCACC